rnacentral:rRNA from 1 species
GACGAACGCUGGCGGCGUGCUUAACACAUGCAAGUCGAACGGUGAAGGGGUCUGCUUUUGUGGGCCCUGGAUGAGUGGCGAACGGGUGAGUAACACGUGAGUAACCUGCCCCCUUCUUCUGGAUAACCGCAUGAAAGUGUGGCUAAUACGGGAUAUUCUGGGUCUGUCGCAUGAUGGGUCUGGGAAAGAUUGCGCCUUUGGGUGUUUUUGGUGGGGGAUGGGCUCGCGGCCUAUCAGCUUGUUGGUGGGGUGAUGGCCUACCAAGGCGGUGACGGGUAGCCGGCCUGAGAGGGUGGACGGUCACACUGGGACGGAGACACGGCCCAGACUCCUACGGGAGGCAGCAGUGGGGAAUAGUGCACAAUGGGCGCAAGCCUGAUGCAGCGACGCCGCGUGAGGGAGGGAGGCCUUCGGGUUGUAAACCUCUUUCGCCAGUGAAGCAGGCCUGCUCCUUGUGGGUGGGUUGACGGUAGCUGGAUAAGAAGCGCCGGCUAACUACGUG